UUCACCGUGUUAGCCAGGAUGGUCUCGAUCUCCUCACCUCGUGAUCGCCUGCCUCGGCCUCCCAAAGUGCUGAGAUUACAGUUGUAAGCCACCACGCGAUUCUUCUUUUGUGGGUGGUGGGAAGAAUUCAGGCUCAGAUAAAAAAUAUCCCUUCCCACCGAUCAUCCAAAUCUUGUUGAUUCUACUUCAAAUUGUUUCUUUAAUUUUUCCCAUUCCUGCUCCUACUCCCCGAGUUCAGACCCUCUUCAUCUCUUCUCUGUAUUAGGACCAACUGGACUCCUAACUGCUCUUUUGCCUCUCCCCCUUUUUUUUUUUUAAACUUAACCCGUCAUCUCUCCUACAAAAGCAUUCAUCCUUUUCUGCUGCCAGAGUGAAAUUUCUAGGACUACAACUACUCAUUUCGGGUAGCUCCUUAUCACCUACAAAAUAAAGUUUAAACCCCUUAACAUGAUGUUAUGAUCGCUGUCAAUGCCUGCAACACCGUGAUUUUCCAUCUCUCCCCAUAAACACCUCUGACCACCUUGGAUUGUUCAUCUGUCGUUUCCCCUUCAGUGGUUCUUCCUCUUGAAGCCUUGCUUUCUGCCAACCUUUCCAUUCAGUACCCUUUAGUUCAUCAAAUGCUUAAUUGAACACAGGCACAUACCAGUUCCUGUCACCCAAGGAGGUGAGGAGCAGGUGACAAGACAAGGGGAGGUAGUGUUGCAGAAUAUGUCACAUGUCAACACAGUCGAUGUAAAUGUUUUAGUUAGCUUGCCUGAGUUUAGGGACCUGAAUGCACUUUUUCAUCAGGCUGGAAUCACUGCAGGGGUUUUGGUAAGGAGUUUUGCAAAACUUGAGAUCACGUGGAAAAAUACGGCUCUGAGGGGGGGUAAAUUUAUGGAAAGUCAUCUUUACAUUAAUCAUCAAAGCUGAUGUCUAAAUAAAGACAAUGCGAUUGACAUUUUGCACAUUUUAAAUUAGUAGUAGUGGAUAUAGCACUCAAUUUUCACUUACCAUUCCUGACUUCAAAAAAAGAAGUGUUAAAUUUUCUUUCCUGCAGUCUCAAGGAGAUGCUUGCUUAUUUGUUUUGAUUUGUUGCAGAUAAUAUGCACGCAGAGAGGUUUUCCUUUUCUGAGUCUCAUUUUCCAUCCACAUAUUCAGUGUCUUCUUGCCUUGCAGACUUAGGAUUGUUGAUUUUCCAUCCCUCUAGUUCUGCCUGCUGGGCCACUGGCUACAGUGUACAGGUUGGGAUCAUAGGACUGUGACUGGCCCCGGGGGCACAUGGGCCUGACUCUCAGCCCAUGAGGUUUGCCAGGUUGGGCUCCCUGGCUUGUGGCUGCAUUACAUUUUUAUAAUUCUGUCGUGAUUCAGAGAUGUUAAGUAAGUUGGUACUUGAGAUAGAAAGGUUUAGGAUAAUCUUAUUUAACCAAUGAGGCCCAGCUCAGUAGGUAAUUGUCAGCCCGUCUACCCAGCUCCCGGGGUUUAUCGCCUCAGUCAUGGCCCUGGUAUCUGUGUGCAGAAGCAUACCUGUCAACUCCUCUUUCCCAUCUUAGCAACCUCCUUCCUCUCAGGCCAGUUCCCAGUGCUAAGGACCUGGUUACCCUUCCUCCUUGUGUUUCCUGCAGCUACAAUAACAAAUUGUCACGAAACAUUAUCCUCUCACAUUUCUGGAGGUCAGAAGUCCAAAGCCAGGCUAUCAGCAGGGCUGCGCUCCCUCCAAAGGCUCUAGGGGAGAACGCUGUCUUGCCUCUUCCUCCUCCAGCCUCUGGUGACUGCUGAUGUUCCUUUGCUUGUGGCAGCAGCAUCCAAUCUGUGCUUCUGUCCUCACCCAGCCUGCUUUCCUGUGUGUGACUCUGUGUUCUUUUCUGUCUCUGAAUAGAACCUUCUCAUUUAGGGCCCAUCCUAAUCCAGCAUGAUCGUAUUUCAAUCUUUACCCUCAUCAUGUUUUAAUGACCCGACUUUCAAAUAAGGUCACAUUCUAAGGCUGUGAGUGACAUGACUUUGGAGUGGAUGUCAUUCACUCCACCAUACUCAUCUACUUUAACUUUGUCAAGACUUCAAUGCAAACACGUCUACUUCUUACACCCCCUGUUUUACCUCCUUUUCCUAUUUUCAACUCUCCAUUCCUUUUUUCCUCAUUUACCCCUUUAAGAAUGACUUAUAAUUUGUGUGCACAAGAUUUGACUAUUCUGCAUUUCUGAAGAUAUGUACAAAGUAAGAAAGCCAAGUCCAGAGGCCAGAGGUGAAGCCCGACCUCUGUGUUUCUAACAUCAAGGUUGCUGCCCUGCCCAGGACCAACACCCAGCAAACCUUAGAUGAUGUCAAUAAGGUGAUGUUCACCAACAUCUUCAACAGCGGGCUGAAAGCCAAGCAGACGUGGUCACUCUGCAGUCCUCUGGAAGGCCCAAGAGAGCCCUUGCCUGCUACCUGAAUAGAUGAGGACCUCCGGAGCUACCUGGCCUUUGUGGAUUCCAGACCUCCUCCAUCAGCCGAGCUCCAGGAGAGCCCCAGCAGCACUCUAUUUUCCUGCUGCCUCAGUGCUCAAGAUGAUGGUCUUUUUGAGUGUCCAGCUGAUUCUGUUGCUCACUUACCAUUGUGUGGGUGCCUCUGUCAUCCCUUGCCCUUGGAAAGCCUACACUUUGAGGUUUUGAAUCUCACUCAGUGACCUUCAAGGCACUCCCUCCCAGCUGCCUGUUGCCCAGGCUGAAACACAAUGUUUCAUGUGGUUUCACGGAUGAGGUCACACCCAUUUUCUUUGCAAUAUCCUUAACAAAUUUUCAUUUGGGGGAAAUAAAGAGAUGAUAGGAAAGCA